rnacentral:misc_RNA from 1 species
AAUAGUUCGAACCCUCAAAAUCUAAGCGGUUCCGUUUGUCCUGCCAAGGGACCGCCAGUUCCGGGCCUUGGCCGGGUCUAUUUGUAAGGAUAGUGAUAUUGAUAUAUUUGCAGAGAUUGAAGUUGAGCAAUUAGCAGCAAAUCCAAAUGUUGGUCCCACCAGAGAGAAACGAGUGGCGAAGAGCAGCCAAAUGGGUGAAGCUAACGGCAGCAGAAUGCCACACGUUUCUCUUCUUACCUAUCUUAUAUGUAUUCUUCUCAUUGGACAGAUGGCCAUACAACAACUGAUAUUCAAUUGCUGAUUCUCUUAGAAUGGGAGCUUGGUGAAGUAUUCUUUUGGGUUUCAUAUUGA